AUUUUGGAAAGGCCGGGAGAUCUGAGCUGCUACAAAGACGCCACCAAUUAAAUUUCACCCGCCUCUGCAGUGCCGGGGUUGAAACUUUCAGGUCAUCAGGCCUGUCACUCUUUUACUUCCAUCUCUUUCAUUGGCUACUGGGAGAUCGCGACUCCUUUUUUCAUGGAUUGGGAGGAGCUCACAGGAGAGGGUUGGGUCUUUGAUUGAUUUCUUUGCCCGCUUCCAAGAUGGCGCUCAAGACCGCGCUAAGAAUGUAGCGUGAAGCUUCAAUUCUGCCAUCACUCAAGAUGGCUGCCCCCAUCAAGAUGACCGGGGUGUGCCUAGGGGAAAGGGGCAGCAGGAUGGUCUGAGAUGGCUAAUCCUGGUCCCUCCUUGUCCUCUGGACUAAAAUGGGGAACACACUGGGCCUGGCACGAUGGGACUUGCCCGCCGGAGCCCCGCCGAGAAGACCUCUGCCAUCCUGGAGCUCGAUGAGUGC
rnacentral:lncRNA from 1 species